rnacentral:rRNA from 1 species
GACGAACCGUGCGAACGUUGUUCGGAAUCACUGGGCUUAAAGGGCGCGUAGGCGGGUGUGCAAGUCUGUGGUGAAAGCCUCCAGCUCAACUGGAGAAGUGCCAUGGAUACUGCACAUCUUGAGGAGGGUAGGGGCAUCUGGAACGGUCGGUGGAGCGGUGAAAUGCGUUGAUAUCGACCGGAACUCCGGUGGCGAAGGCGAGGUGCUGGACCCUUUCUGACGCUGAGGCGCGAAAGCCAGGGGAGCAAACGGG